GACGAACGCUGGCGGCGCGCUUAACACAUGCAAGUCGAACGGAAAGGCCUGCCUUCCCUUGUGGAUUGCGGGUACUCGAGUGGCGAACGGGUGAGUAACACGUGAGUGAUCUGCCCCCAACUUGGGUAUAAGCCUGGGAAACUGGGUCUAAUUCCCGAUAGGACUGCAGGGUGGUGCCUGUGGUGGAAAACGAUUUUCUAGUGGUUGGGGAUGAGCUCGCGGCCUAUCAGCUUGUUGGUGGGGUAAUGGCCUACCAAGGCGGCGACGGGUAGCCGGCCUGAGAGGGUGGACGGCCACAUUGGGACUGAGAUACGGCCCAGACUCCUACGGGAGGCAGCAGUGGGGAAUAUUGCACAAUGGGCGGAAGCCUGAUGCAGCGACGCCGCGUGGGGGAUGACGGCCUUCGGGUUGUAAACUCCUUUCGACCGCGAGGAAGCCACCUGGUUGGAAGGGUGGUGACGGUAGUGGUAGAAGAAGCACCGGCUAACUACGUG
rnacentral:rRNA from 1 species